UGCUCGGGCAGCGACGACAUCGCAUCCGCGCCUCUUCAGUUGUUGGCUCAAGCGCUCGUUGGCCUUGGCCGACGUCGGUUUCCUGUGUUGAAUACCUAUCAAGAAGGCAUUUUGUUGGCUACGUUGUCCCUUUUCCGCCUCGUACUGCUGCGUCUGUCGGCGUUGUGGUGCGGGGUGGACCUCAAAGCGUGCGCCGUGUUCCGCACCCCGUGCACUUCAAUACGGGUGCUCGGGUUGUCGGCCCACGGCGCACUGCUCGGUCCCUCGGAUGCRGAACACCGAGUGGGUACGAGG
rnacentral:misc_RNA from 1 species